rnacentral:rRNA from 1 species
ACCAGCGAUGGUGAGCGAAUCCCAAAAAGUGCGUCGUAGUCCGGAUUGGAGUCUGCAACUCGACUCCAUGAAGUCGGAAUCGCUAGUAAUCGUGAAUCAGAAUGUCACGGUGAAUACGUUCCCGGGCCUUGUACACACCGCCCGUCACACCAUGGGAGUGGGCUGCAAAAGAAGUGGGUAGUUUAACCUUUCGAGGAGGACGCUCACCACUUUGUGGUUCAUGACUGGGGUGAAGUCGUAACAAGGUAGCCCUAGGGGAACCUGGGGCUGGAUCACCUCCUUAUACGAUGAU